rnacentral:rRNA from 1 species
AACGCUAGCUACAGGCUUAACACAUGCAAGUCGAGGGGCAUCAGGAAGAAAGCUUGCUUUCUUUGCUGGCGACCGGCGCACGGGUGAGUAACACGUAUCCAACCUGCCGAUGACUCGGGGAUAGCCUUUCGAAAGAAAGAUUAAUACCCGAUGGUAUAUCUGAAAGGCAUCUUUCAGCUAUUAAAGAAUUUCGGUCAUUGAUGGGGAUGCGUUCCAUUAGGUUGUUGGCGGGGUAACGGCCCACCAAGCCAUCGAUGGAUAGGGGUUCUGAGAGGAAGGUCCCCCACAUUGGAACUGAGACACGGUCCAAACUCCUACGGGAGGCAGCAGUGAGGAAUAUUGGUCAAUGGACGAGAGUCUGAACCAGCCAAGUAGCGUGAAGGAUGACUGCCCUAUGGGUUGUAAACUUCUUUUAUACGGGAAUAAAGUUAGGCACGUGUGCCUUUUUGUAUGUACCGUAUGAAUAAGGAUCGGCUAACUCCGUGCCAGCAGCCGCGGUAAUACGGAGGAUCCGAGCGUUAUCCGGAUUUAUUGGGUUUGAAGGGGGCGUAGGCGGAUGCUUAAGUCAGUUGUGAAAGUUUGCGGCUCAACCGUAAAAUUGCAGUUGAUACUGGGUGUCUUGAGUACAGUAGAGGCAGGCGGAAUUCGUGGUGUAGCGGUGAAAUGCUUAGAUAUCACGAAGAACUCCGAUUG